rnacentral:lncRNA from 1 species
GAGAAAGUUACUCAAGUGAUGAGCAACCUUGUAUAUGAGGAAUGGAAAGGUUUCCCAUUCCUCAUAUAAAAACAUUAAUAUCACAAGCAUAUUGAGCAGUCAUAAAGUUGUGCAAGUGGGAAAAGUCAGCCAAAUAAAAAAAUUGUUCGACAAUUUUACAAUAAAGAAUCAAACAUGUGAACUAUCGAUUCAGUAUUAUUACAGGUUUACAAACAUUUCUGUAAAUUCCUGCAGGUCCUUCAGAUUCCUAUGUACAGUAUUUUAGUCGCUGCAGGUCACUGUAGAUUUGUAUGCUAUAAUGGAUAUAUUUUCCAAUAACCGCGAUCAAAAGAAUGAAUAGGCUGUGCUGACCAAUAUUUGUAUGAAUCAUAGGCUACCUGCUACUUCCAUCCACGGUUUCCUCUCUUCCUUUUAACUACAAGAAGCUGCAUUUGCUCCCACCUUUCAGAAACAACUGAAUGAGUACUAUACCCAUAUUCUUCACUGGGUUUUUCAAGUGGUCAUGUCAC